GAUGAACGCUGGCGGCGUGCCUAAUACAUGCAAGUCGAGCGAACAGAUGAGGAGCUUGCUCCUCUGACGUUAGCGGCGGACGGGUGAGUAACACGUGGAUAACCUACCUAUAAGACUGGGAUAACUUCGGGAAACCGGAGCUAAUACCGGAUAAUAUAUUGAACCGCAUGGUUCAAUAGUGAAAGACGGUUUUGCUGUCACUUAUAGAUGGAUCCGCGCCGCAUUAGCUAGUUGGUAAGGUAACGGCUUACCAAGGCAACGAUGCGUAGCCGACCUGAGAGGGUGAUCGGCCACACUGGAACUGAGACACGGUCCAGACUCCUACGGGAGGCAGCAGUAGGGCAUCUUCCGCAAUGGGCGAAAGCCUGACGGAGCAACGCCGCGUGAGUGAUGAAGGUCUUCGGAUCGUAAAACUCUGUUAUUAGGGAAGAACAAAUGUGUAAGUAACUAUGCACGUCUUGACGGUACCUAAUCAGAAAGCCACGGCUAACUACGUG
rnacentral:rRNA from 1 species